rnacentral:rRNA from 1 species
CCUACGUGUGGCAGCAGUGAGGAAUAUUGGUCAAUGGGCGCGAGCCUGAACCAGCCAAGUAGCGUGAAGGAUGACUGCCCUACGGGUUGUAAACUUCUUUUAUAAAGGAAUAAAGUGAGGCACGUGUGCCUUUUUGUAUGUACUUUAUGAAUAAGGAUCGGCUAACUCCGUGCCAGCAGCCGCGGUAAUACGGAGGAUCCGAGCGUUAUCCGGAUUUAUUGGGUUUAAAGGGAGCGUAGAUGGGUUGUUACGUCAGUUGUGAAAGUUUGCGGCUCAACCGUAAAAUUGCAAUUGAUACUGGCAGUCUUGAGUACAGUUGAGGUAGGCGGAAUUCGUGGUGUAGCGGUGAAAUGCUUAGAUAUCACGAAGAACUCCGUUUGCGAAGGCAGCUUACUAAACUGCCACUGACAUUGAUGCUCGAAAGUGUGGGUAUCAAACAGGAUUAGAUACCCUUGUAGUC